AUGCCGUCUCCGCGAACCGUGAGCCAGCUGCUCCUCCCGCUGUCUCAGGAGCCGCCGGCCGGCGUGAGGCGACGCCGCUCUCCCUCUCUGCUCGCCGCCUUCCUCCUCCUCCUCCUCCUCAACGGCUCCACUGCCCUGGGAAUGCACAUCGGUCAAGUGACUUUCUCUGGUAAAGGUUCAGAGUUCUCAAUGGCUACCCUGCAGUUUGCUUACAAUGGAGAAGUGGCUGUUUGCUUUGAUUAUACAACAGGAAAGUUUGUGGCCAUCAAUCCAUUGUAAAGUCUUUCGUGGACGAUCUGAACUGCAAUUGAAAGGUUAUCAGAAAUGUUGCCCGCUAUGUUAAUGACAUGCCAUGGAGAUCGUUCACCUGGUUGUUCAAGCUCUGACGGGUAUUUCCACCUUACGGAAACUUUGGGUUACCGACAGUUCUUGGAACUUUCAUUUGACUUGGGAGUGACUGAAAGAACCAUAC